UGGGGAAUUUUGGACAAUGGGCGAAAGCCUGAUCCAGCAAUGCCGCGUGUGUGAAGAAGGCCUUCGGGUUGUAAAGCACUUUUGUCCGGAAAGAAAUCCUUGGCUCUAAUACAGUCGGGGGAUGACGGUACCGGAAGAAUAAGCACCGGCUAACUACGUGCCGGCAGCCGCGGUAAUACGUAGGGUGCAAGCGUUAAUCGGAAUUACUGGGCGUAAAGCGUGCGCAGGCGGUUUGCUAAGACCGAUGUGAAAUCCCCGGGCUCAACCUGGGAACUGCAUUGGUGACUGGCAGGCUAGAGUAUGGCAGAGGGGGGUAGAAUUCCACGUGUAGCAGUGAAAUGCGUAGAGAUGUGGAGGAAUACCGAUGGCGAAGGCAGCCCCCUGGGCCAAUAUUGACGCUCAUGCACGAAAGCGUGGGGAGCAAACAGGAUUAGAUACCCUGGUAGUCCACGCCCUAAACGAUGUCAACUAGUUGUUGGGGAUUCAUUUCCUUAGUAACGUAGCUAACGCGUGAAGUUGACCGCCUGGGGAGUACGGUCGCAAGAUUAAAACUUAAAUGAAUUGACGGGG
rnacentral:rRNA from 1 species